rnacentral:rRNA from 1 species
CCCGGUGACUUGAGCGGGGUGGACCCACCCGUUCCCAUCCCGAACACGGAAGUGAAACGCCCCAGCGCCGAAGAUACUGCCCCCGCAAGGGGGUGGGAAAAUAGGCCGUUGCCGGGA